UACAGAGGGUGCGAGCGUUAAUCGGAAUUACUGGGCGUAAAGCGUGCGUAGACGGUUAUUUAAGUCGGGUGUGAAAGCCCCGGGCUCAACCUGGGAAUUGCAUUCGAGACUGAAUAGCUAGGGUACGGUAGAGGGAAGUGGAAUUUCCGGUGUAGCGGUGAAAUGCGUAGAUAUCGGAAGGAACAUCAGUGGCGAAAGCGACUUCCUGGACCAGUACCGACCGUUCAGGCACGAAAGCGUGGGGAGCAAACAGGAAUUAGAUACCCCGGAGAAGUCCGAGA
rnacentral:rRNA from 1 species